UCUAGAAUCAGCAUUUGAUCAUGAAAAUUUCAAAUACAACUGGAAUUUGGAAAACAACCAAAAAGUUUGUUUUCACAUUUUUCACUUUUUCCAUUUUCACUUUUUGAACCGUUACUUUCAUUUUUCAAAUUUUACCCUAGUAAGUUUUUACUUUUAUAAAAAGAGCCCCCAUUUAUUUUACCCAACAACCAAGUUAAAUGACCCAACUACCGUAUCUGUCAAACUUACCUCAUAAAAUCUCUUACCUUCAAUAGAGAACUUACCAUGUAUUGCUCUUUAUGCUUUCUUAAAUUUCCAACUAAUGGCACCAUAGUUCUUCAUCGGAAAAAUUGUGCAUCUUCAAGCAGAACCAACAAUAGCAGCGACCUUCUUUGACCGUAAUUGCUAAAAUUUAUUAUUAUUUGCUUGAUUUGUGUAGAAUUUUCAGAUUUGUAAACCCUAGGUCAAUGUUUUAUUGGGGGUUAUGUGUUGACAGCUUUGAUUCUCUUUUCAAUCGGGUUAUGUAUUUACAAUUUCAAUUUAAUUUCUUUUUGCUCAACUGUUGAACACCUUUUAUGCUUUAAUAUUUCUUGGUUGCGUCAAUUUCUAUUUGGUUGGUGCAACUAAAGGUUCAUCCUUGUUUAUUAAGUUCUGUAAUGCAAAUAGCACAUGGAGCUGGUUUUGGGAUUUCAUACGAGAAUUCUGUCACUGCGCCUCUAUCGGUUAACAGGGUAACAUACUUUACAGUUUUAUUUUCCGUUAUGCUCAUGUGGGCACCUUCAAUUCCAUACUUAUAAGGUAUGUUUUCAGUUGUUAUGUUGUUCGAAAAUGAAGAUAAUUUAUGCAACAGUUCUUUCUAUUGUUGUUAUAUCGUACGUAAAAGAAUGAGCAAACCACGUGGUUCAAACGCUAACAAAUGGACGGAUGAUGAGACAUCGAUGUUGAUCCAUAUCUUACAUGAUGAUGCAAGGAAAUACGCUGUUAAUGGUUCUUCCUAUGGUCCAUGUUGGAGGAAAGUUAUAGAUGAGUUUUGGAUGAAAUCUUGCAAGAAAGACGCUUUUGAUGAACCUCAAAUUAAGUCCAAAUACAACCGAUUAAGGACAAACAAAAAAAAUCAAGGAUAUCCUUACAAGUUGCUCUGGAUAUGGUUGGGACCCCGAAACUAACACCAUUACUUGUCCAUCUGAGAUUUGGGCGGACUAUGUGCUGAAAAAGAAAGAAAAAAAUAUAAAUAUAUCCAAGUACAGAUACAAGGGGCUCGAACACUUUGACUUGUUGCGAGAAAUAUUUGGAAAAUCAUUUGCCACGGGAGAGCGCUUGGUAUACAGUACAAUGAAUGUUUCUCCACAAUGAUCAAAUGAAGCUACCGAAGUGGAUAAAAAACCUUUUUUCUUGUGACGACUACCUUAAUGAUACCGGGCCUACGCAUGUCACGGGUAUUGGGACUGGGACUGGGAAUCGGACUAUGGCGGAUUCGUCUAUGGCAACUGAUUAUGGCACAUCCACAUAUCGCAAAAAGGGUCAUGCUACAGCUAUUGACGGCCUAAGUGAAUAUUUAAGGGAACAUUUGCAGCGGAAGAGAGACAGGGUGGAAGCCAAAGAAAAGAAAGAAGAACAGGCACAAGCAUCUAAAUCUUCUGAGAUUGAUACCUAUUCCGAGCAAGUCGUCAUUACGCAAUUGUAAUAUGUCAUGGACAAAUUUCUUAUUGAUGAAGAACAAUUUUCUCUGGCUAUUCCUCACUUGCAUGACCCCGGCUUUCGCAAUAUUUUUGUCCAUAUGUCCGAGAAAUGACAAAUUAAGUGGGUUAAGGACUUGAAACAAAUCUCUGAAAAUUAGUGGUUGUUAAUCAGUGGGUCAAGAAAAAAAAUGCAGAGAACUAUGUUUUUAUCUUUUUAAUGUGAAACUACAGAUUAGUGGUUCUUUGAAUUUUGGCAAUUCCAUUUUGUUUAGAAUGCACAGAACAAUGUGAAAUUUCCAUCAAUUUUGUUAAUUGAUGUGAACUAUGUGUUGCUUUGUUGGAUUGUUGGCUUGUUUAAUGAAUUUGGUUUCAUUUCUGUACGA